AUCCAGCCGACGAGUCCCAAAUAGGACGAAACGCGCGUCAAAAUGGAU
rnacentral:hammerhead_ribozyme from 1 species